GGGUCGAUGGCAAAGCCGGUGUCGCGUCUGUAUACCGUUCAACGUUGCCUUACAACUGUAAACAGAAGACCUCAGUUCGAAUCUGGGUCGACUCA